GCCUCAGGGAACUUGGAUUUCCAGUGAAGUUCAUGGGACAGUGGAACAAGAUGCAUCUCUGGGCUUCACAGCCAAGAUAUGAAUGUUAUGAAGAAGCCAUAAACAGGCAUCUUGAGUGAGACAGGCGCAUCUCUCAGAAUAGGGGACUGUGUCAACGCAAGCCAGGCUGCAGGCCUUCGCCCACACUGCUCCAAAGACCUCCAGCCACAAUUCCCAGGGAAACACGGGGAAAGAUAAUCAAAACCACGUCCAAGAGCCCAGUUGCCUUUAAGAAAUGAUUCUCCAAAAGAAUCCAUUUCUUAGGACUUUCCAAAAUCAAAAAGCAUUUCUGGUUUGAAAGACCCUAAACUACCAAGUGCUCAGGACUGAGAGUCCCCAAGUACUGUAUGCAAACCAGCUUUAAAAACCAAACCUAAACUCGGUGUGGUGGCUCACGCCUAUAAU
rnacentral:lncRNA from 1 species